AAUUAAUAAUUUUUAUUAAUUUUUUUAUACCGUUAAAAACUAGCACGACAGGCGAAAUAACCAGACAACGAUACAUGACAUGCCACAUGUGCCUCAUGCUUAUGUACAUGGACCAAUUUUUAAUGAUAAGAAUCGAUGAAUUUUUUAACA
rfam:Gossypium raimondii Chr11_contig_1421, whole genome shotgun sequence.